UUUCCCGAACCCCUGGAAGCCAAAUGUACCAAAACAAAGGUUCUUCCAAAAGCACAUAUGGAACAAGGACACGCCCCAUUGAUGAUGCCUAAGAACUGUGAUUCUUCCACUUGUUCUUCAGUAUCAGGAGACGAGGGAACCUGUGAAGUUCUACUAACCCCAAAAGUAAAAGCUCUGGAGCUGCAGGACAGAGAGGUGAACCACAAUGGAGGAGCGAAGCGCUCAAUGCGGAAAAGCUCGUGCUUGCUCACGCCACCGAACAUACCACUGAGCUCAAAGCGGAUGAAACCAGAAACCAAACACCAACUUAUGAAGAUCCACAUAGAAUAAAGCAAGAAGAAGGUGGAUGUGGAAGACACAAUGAAGCCGGAGAUGAUGAAGUGUUUAUGGUGAAGCUGCUGAGAGGCCCUGAAGGACUAGGACUGUCUCUAGUGGAUGGCGUGGAAACUCCAAUGAAGACAAAUGGGAUUUAUGUUAAAUCUGUGAUCCCAGGGUCUCCAGCAGCUCUGAGUCAGAGGCUGAGGCCAGGCGAUCGUCUUCUAGCGAUCAAUGGCGACGGAUUGGUCGGCUUGGACUACCACACGUGAGUGGGCUUAGACAAAUAUAUACGUAUCGUGAAGCAAAAUGAACAGUACAUGGACAAAAACUUUGCGGACACCUGAUACAAAGAUUGGCAUGUGCUUUUCGUUUCCAUUUCCCGUUAUAAUAACCUCCACUCUUCCGGGAAGAUGUUCCACUAGAUUUUGAGGUGUG